rnacentral:rRNA from 1 species
UACGUAGCAGCAAGCGUUGUUCGGAGUUACUGGGCGUAAAGGGCGCGCAGGCGGUUCUGUUUGUCGAGUGUGAAAGCCCCGGGCUCAACCUGGGAACUGGCGCUCGAAACGGCGGAACUAGAGUUCGGGAGAGGAGAGUGGAAUUCCGUGGUGUAGCGGUGAAAUGCGCAGAUAUCAGGAAGAACACCCGUGGCGAAAGCGG